CACUUCCAUCUUCCUUUGAAUCCAAAUCCCAACCCUAGGCGCCCCAAAAUCCUCGCCACCGGCCAGCCGUAACACCACCAAACGACCUCUAAAUCUGCCCAAAUCCGUACCACAUACUGCUCACGUUCACUUCACCACUAUGCCACUAUUAAUCUCCAAAGAUCAAGCAGACUGCUCUCAUAUUCGAAUCUAGAGAUUCUAGAAAGAAGAGCCCAAUUUUCUUUUUCGAUUUUUUCACAAAAACAUCCGACUCGCUUUGACUGAAAAACUUAUGUUGAUAGAUUACUCACAAGAAGAUCAAUCACUUACCGAUACUUUUAAGUUAUUCUGAGACCAUCGGACUUAGGUAGACUCGUCGGAUUCCGGUCAAAGCUCAUCGUUCUAUCCACCUGCCGGAGUUCAUCAUCUUAUUUUUUUUCUUAGGUCAGGUUUGGGGUAAGGACUCUUACUGUUUGUCUUUCAUCAUUGUCUUGGCUUGCAUGGUUCAAAUUUUAAAUUUAUUUUAGGUUAGUUCUAGUGUUUAUUAGAGCUUGUUUGAAUCUUCAUCCCAAUGGUUGGAUUAGUAAGCUUUAACAGCUUUUUUGGUGAGCGUCGCUUAGGUGUUAGUCUCUUCUUGAUUUCUGCUCCCACAUCAUUCCAGAAUUGAUUCAUGAUAAAAUUAUAUAAGGUUAGGGUUAAUUUAAGGUUUAAUUGUAUAAAUAUUUUGGUCUUUUAAAUCUUUGAUUUUUGCCAAUUUUGGUUUUGUUUUGUUGGUUUUGACUUGUGAACAAUUAGAGUUAUGAGGGGGUGAAUUGAACAAAUAAAAAAACUUAAGAGGUCUUGGAAGGGUUUGAAAUAGUAUUUCUUUUCAGAUAAGGCUAAGAAGUUUCUAGAAUUUUGGGCAGUUGGCUAAAUUUGGCCCAGCAUAAGAUGCUAGAACCAAUAAGAGACAGCCACAAAUCUGAUUUUUAUUAUUCCUCACUUAGAGCACACAUUUGAAACUCUAUAAAAGGAAUAACACUCCUUUAUUAAAGGGGACUCGCACAAAAAAAAGAAAGAAAAACAAAACAUAAAAAGGGAAAAACUAAGAGAAUAAUUAUUAAAAAGUUGGUUUAGCUACUUUCUUUAGUAUUUUCUAGGUUGAGAAGCUAUUAAAUCUUAGCACUAUGGGCAACUAAUUAUUGCUGCAUUUUUUCUGUUCAAUCAAGGCUUUAUUUGCUUUCAAGUCUAGCUAUUUUUGGUCAUUUCCUUUCCUGUUGAUCUUUGUUGAUAGGUAUGUAGUCUAUCUCUUGUCAAAUUUUCUUUGAAAUAUGGAUUCAGAGAUAUGGUUUACUCCAGCUAUGCCUCUGUACAUCUGUGCAGUAAUUGGGUGUAUUUUUAUGUUUAUUGUUUAAGUCCACCUAUUGUUUGUUUCAUAUCAUAGUACAUGAAUCAUAUAUCAGCUAUCAAUAAUUUUUAGACUGUUUUAUAUCUAGUUAAAAUAUAGUUUCUUUGAUUGCAAGUUGAAUAAGCUAGUACAAGUUCAAUCUGUAAAUGAAGCAAGUUUGAUCAUUAUACCACCAUUUGUAGUUUUUCUUUAAGUGUUAAAUCUGAGUGUGAGUUGGUCACACUCAAGGAUCUGUAUGGAUAAAAUGCUGUUGCGAAGUCUUAUAGUAGUUUAAAUAGUGGUAUGAGCAUUACAAUACCAUAAUAUGAUUUAACUUUAUUGUUCUGAAUUGCUAUAGGCUCUUGCUGGUUUGAUUAUAUAGAUUUGUGGUAUUUGAAAGUUAGUAAACCUUCAAUGUUUCCUUAAAUGACCUUAUUUAAAAGUUGUUUGGCCUGUAUUUUUUCUAAGUUUUGUUUUGUGUUAAAAUCAUGGAAUAUUACAGUCUUCCUAACAAUUUAUUAUCAUUUGUUUUCUAUUGUGACAAUGUGGUUGUAGAUUUGCAAGCUAGCUCUAUAUCUCGCCUUGAAAAUGCAAACUUCUUUUGAAUUACCAAUUUUCAGCGACUGGAGCAGCUUGCAUUAACGGAGGAUCAUCAUGUUUUGUGGGGCUUUAAUUAAUGAUUAGCUAGAUUUUAUGGUUGUUAAGCUUUUAUGAUUUGGGUUUUAUAUAAAUUAUUUUUAUCAUUCAUCUUGUAUAAGUUAAUUUAGUGGUUCUUUGGUAUGGUUAGGCAUUAUUAAUUUAAAAAUUAUAUGCAAUUAUUGAUUAACUGUAGUUUAAAAGAUUUAGCAGGCCUUGGUACUGAUUGGUCCUGGCUUUGGCUCAAUUGAGCACCCUGUGUGAAACCAGGCACGGAAUGUUAUGGUUCUGUUUUGCCUUCGCGUCUGAACCCAAUGUCGAGCCCAAAUGCCUUCAGCAUUUUCACUCGUCAAUUAGCCUUCAAUAAUUUGUGGCCCACAUUCCUCCUUAGGCCAUAUUCCUUUAGUGUAAAUAAUUUCAAAUAAACAAAGGGCCUGAUAUAUCUCCUCAUAAAGGCUUGUAAUUGGCAGUCCUUCUGGAAUACCAAAUUUAGUUUAAAGAUGAUCCCUCGUAAUUUACCUUAGGCACAUAAUUAAAACAUCACAAUUAUGAGUUUGGCUUCCGUGGCAUAAUUGUGCUAUGUAAUUAGUUUAAAUAUGAAUAUCUGUAGUUCAUAUAAUUGAAUGCAUUUCUUUUGAAAGAAAAUGAG
rnacentral:lncRNA from 1 species